UACGUAGGGUGCGAGCGUUGUCCGGAAUUAUUGGGCGUAAAGCGCGCGUAGGCGGCCCGGUAAGUCCGCUGUAAAAGUCAAAGGCUCAACCUUUGAAUGUCAGUGGAUACUGCCGGGCUAGAGUCCGGAAGAGGCGAGUGGAACUCCUGGUGUAGCGGUGGAAUGCGCAGAUAUCAGGAAGAACACCAACGGCGAAGGCAGCUCGCUGGGACGGUACUGACGCUGAGACGCGAAAGCGUGGGGAGCGAACAGG
rnacentral:rRNA from 1 species